UGGGGAAUAUUGCGCAAUGGGCGGAAGCCUGACGCAGCGACGCCGCGUGGGGGAUGAAGGCCUUCGGGUUGUAAACCCCUUUCACCAGGAGCGAAUCCAGACGGUACCUGGGGAAGAAGCGCCGGCUAACUACGUGCCAGCAGCCGCGGUAAUACGUAGGGCGCAAGCGUUGUCCGGAAUUAUUGGGCGUAAAGAGCUCGUAGGCGGCCUGUCGCGUCCGCUGUGAAAUCCUGGGGCUUAACCCCGGGCGUGCAGUGGAUACGGGCUGGCUAGAGGCAGGCAGGGGAGAACGGAAUUCCCGGUGUAGCGGUGAAAUGCGCAGAUAUCGGGAGGAACACCGGUGGCGAAGGCGGUUCUCUGGGCCUGUUCUGACGCUGAGGAGCGAAAGCGUGGGGAGCGAACAGGAUUAGAUACCCCCGUAGUCC
rnacentral:rRNA from 1 species